rnacentral:rRNA from 1 species
GACGAACGCUGGCGGCGUGCCUAAUACAUGCCAGUAGAACGCCGUUGCGAACGGGUGAGUAAAGCGUAGGGAACUGCCUCAGAGCGGGGGAUAACUAUUGGAAACGAUAGCUACUACCGCAUACUGUGAGAUGGACCUGCGUUGUAUUAGCUAGUUGGUGAGGUAAAGGCUCACCAAGGCGACGAGACAUAGCCGACCUGAGAGGGUGAUCGGCCACACUGGGACUGCGAGACGGCCCAGACUCCGACGGGAGGCGGCAGUAGGGAAUCUUCGGCAAUGGACGGAAGGCGGACCGAGAAACGCCGCGUGAUGGAAGAAGGUUUUCGGAUCGUAAAGCUCUGUUUUUAGAGAUGCGGUAACUAACCAGAAAGGGACGGCUGACUACGUGCCAGCAGCCGCGGUAAUAC